rnacentral:rRNA from 1 species
UACGGGGGGAGCAAGCGUUGUUCGGAUUUACUGGGCGUAAAGGGCGCGUAGGCGGCUUAUCAAGUCAGGCGUGAAAUUCCCGGGCUCAACCUGGGGGCUGCGCUUGAUACUGAUGAGCUUGAAUGCGGGAGAGGAUAGUGGAAUUCCCAGUGUAGAGGUGAAAUUCGUAGAUAUUGGGAAGAACACCGGUGGCGAAGGCGGCUAUCUGGCCCGUAAUUGACGCUGAGGCGCGAAAGCGUGGGGAGCAAACAGG